rnacentral:rRNA from 1 species
AUUAAACGCUGGCGGCAUGCCUUACACAUGCAAGUCGAACGGUAGCGCGGGGCAACCUGGCGACGAGUGGCGAACGGGUGAGUAAAGCAUCGGAACGUGCCCUGGAAUGGGGGAUAACGUAGCGAAAGUUACGCUAAUACCGCAUAUUCUGUGAGCAGGAAAGCAGGGGAUCGCAAGACCUUGCGUUCUGGGAGCGGCCGAUGUCGGAUUAGCUAGUUGGUGGGGUAAAAGCCUACCAAGGCGACGAUCCGUAGCGGGUCUGAGAGGAUGAUCCGCCACACUGGGACUGAGACACGGCCCAGACUCCUACGGGAGGCAGCAGUGGGGAAUUUUGGACAAUGGGCGGAAGCCUGAUCCAGCCAUGCCGCGUGAGUGAAGAAGGCCUCGGGUUGUU